UCUUAGUGGCGGACGGGUGAGUAACGCGUGGGUAACCUGCCUUGCACUGGGGGAUAACACUUAGAAAUAGGUGCUAAUACCGCAUAAGCGCACGGUCCUGCAUGGGACAGUGUGAAAAACUCCGGUGGUGCAAGGUGGACCCGCGUCUGAUUAGCUGGUUGGCGGGGUAAAGGCCCACCAAGGCGACGAUCAGUAGCCGGCCUGAGAGGGUGGACGGCCACAUUGGGACUGAGACACGGCCCAAACUCCUACGGAAGGCAGCAG
rnacentral:rRNA from 1 species